AAAAUGGAUGAAAACACAUGAAAGAGGCCCAAAUUAAAAACAACUCUUUCUUUUUACUCUGCUCAGAUUGAAGAAUUAGAAAAGCUCCAUCUGAAUCUCCUAUCCUCUUCCCCGAUUUCCAGCUUCAUACAAUCUUCAAAUCUAGUGUGGUGAUAGAAGCAAAAAUACUUCGGUGGCCCUGAAUUUCUUCAAAUGGCAAAUCUCCAUGAGAAGAUCAAAUUUGCACAACCAGAUUGUGAAUGGAAAACACAAGUUAUGGAUCCACGACAUGUUUUCUACACAUUCUUUUGCAUCAGAAUAGAGGGAAUGUUAACAUCACAAAAAAAAAAUAAAAAUAAAAAAAAAAAUAAAAAAAAAGGAAUAGAGGUGAUGUUAUUUUUUUGGAUAUGAUACUUGAUUGUAAGUAUAAUAGCAUCAAAUGUGUUAUUUGUAUCAAAAGGACUAUAGGCUUUUGAAGUAAUUUGUACGCUUGAUGUUUUAAUUAAGACAUUUUACAUUUCAUCAACAUGUUUCACGUUAUUGAAUUUCGAUUUAUGUUUCUA